AUUGAACGCUGGCGGCAGGCUUAACACAUGCAAGUCGAGCGGGGGAGGUUGCUUCGGUAACUGACCUAGCGGCGGACGGGUGAGUAAUGCUUAGGAAUCUGCCUAUUAGUGGGGGACAACAUUCCGAAAGGGAUGCUAAUACCGCAUACGCCCUACGGGGGAAAGCAGGGGAUCUUCGGACCUUGCGCUAAUAGAUGAGCCUAAGUCGGAUUAGCUAGUUGGUGGGGUAAAGGCCUACCAAGGCGACGAUCUGUAGCGGGUCUGAGAGGAUGAUCCGCCACACUGGGACUGAGACACGGCCCAGACUCCUACGGGAGGCAGCAGUGGGGAAUAUUGGACAAUGGGCGGAAGCCUGAUCCAGCCAUGCCGCGUGUGUGAGGACGGCCUUUUGGUUGUAAAGCACUUUAAGCGAGGAGGAGGCUACUAGUACUAAUACUACUGGAUAGUGGACGUUACUCGCAGAAUAAGCACCGGCUAACUCUGUGCCAGCCGCCGCCGUAAAAC
rnacentral:rRNA from 1 species